rnacentral:rRNA from 1 species
UUCUGGGAGGAUUGACAGAUUGAGAGCUCUUUCUUGAUUCGGUGGAUGGUGGUGCAUGUCCGUACUUAGUUGGUGGAGAGAUUUGUCUGGUUAAUUCCGAUAACGAACGAGACUCUAGCCUAUUAAAUAGGUGCGUGCUUCUCUGCACCUUGCAUCUUUUAGGCGCGCAACAGUUUCGCGACACUCAAGUUUCGCGAAAUGUGCUCAUUCACACGUACCGCUUCACGUGCAACAACGAUGACGUUUAGACUCGCGAAAAUAGUUUCGGUGUUGUCCAUAAUGUGGCGCUCCGAAUCAGAUCGCUAUUUAUCUGGGGACCUGCUUUGCGCAUUUUAUGCAGUCAAUUCACUUUAAUUUUUUUUCUCACAUACUGCACUACUUGGAGCGAUCUCGCAGCGCAAAGCCGAUUGAGGCGGCAACCUGUACGUGCAGGACAUGUGCCGGCACCGAGCCCGUACGUAGCCAAUUCAUUGCCAAAGCUCCUAUCAAUGCACAUGGUAUUCAUAGAAACGCUACGUGCCCAAUCUGGUUACCUCUCGGCGCCCAUGUCUGUCCCGAUUUUACUGUGCCAACUGUUUCAGAGAGCGCACAUGGUUUCACGUUCGCUUGUAAACAAAGCAAACUUGGUUUCAGUUUACUCGAUGGUCUCUUAUCCAGCGGUAUCGUCGCGACAACAACGCUAUGAGCACUAUUCUAAUCUCGCCAACUCCCGCUAAUUGUCUUCGUCCAUCGCUGGAUUUUUUUCCGAUAUGCUACUCACUUUUCCUUCAGUGGUCCUUGACGUGCUUGCGGAAGCGCCGGCAGUAUCCAUCGUUCGUGGUUUCGGUUUUUUUCGGAUUUGGCUCGGCUACAACACCGGCAGUGAAGUGGUCUUCUCAAACAGCUCGCUCCCCCCUCAAAGGCCACGUGAGAGCGUUUCUGAGCGGCCAUUGGCGGCGCCCUCAGAGUGAUUGACAGGACUCGGCAAAGUUUCAGUAAAAGCUCGCUCCAGAAGCGAGGUGUGCGCGCAACUUUUUUUAGAUGCGCGCGUCCUUUUCGGACUCGUUCAGACGGCGCAACCAUUUCGCGAAACUACAUUUCGCGACACUAGAUGCUCGAGAAAACUGCAUCGUGUGAACGGGCCUUUAGAGGGACAAGCGGCUCCUAGCUGCACGAAACAGAGCAAUAACAGGUCUGUGAUGCUCUUAUAU